rnacentral:tRNA from 1 species
GGGGAUUUAGCUCAGCGGCAUAAGCGCCUGCCUUGCAAGCAGGAGUCGUGGGUUCGAUCCCCAGUACCGA